UGACUUCGUGAUGAAUUCUUGUGUUGCUGUCCCUGAGAACUGUGUGGCUCUCCUGGAAAAAGGAACUGGUGAAUGUUUGCUUCCCUGACCCAGAAGCCUAAGGGAGAAGUUGAGCUCAAGAUUGUGAUUCUUGAGAGGAGGAAAAACACAUGAGAGUGUUACAUAUAGCAACCUGGAAGUCUCAGUAGGUCUGGUGCCCUGCGUAAAACUCAGUGCUGGUGUUCACAAGCAGAUCACUCACUGGAUCCAGAUUGACACAGGUAUGUGCUUUUAAAGAAAUAUAUAAUAUUGUCCUAUUGCCUUUUGUUUUCCUCACUAAAUAUGAUCCCUUAUUAGCUUCAUGGUAAAAAUACUGUAUUGGGAACAUGUUCAAAUUUAAACAUUGAAGAAGAGUAUGGACAUUUAUCGAAUCCUUGCAUCUGUGUUCCAGGCUCUAAGCAUUUAUUAUCUCAUUGUCUUCUUCUAUCAACUAUGCACUCAGGUAUUACUUCUCAUUUUGUAAGAUGAGAGAACUGAAGCUUAGAUAAGUUCAUGGAUUUAUCCAAGAUGGCAUAACUGAUAAGGAUGUGUAUGAUUUCUAAGUAUCUGCUCUUUGUACUCUGACACUGACAGUAGAGGAAGGGGUUUUUGAAAAAGUGGAAAGAUAAACUAUACCAGCCAGGAUGGAUUUGUAGUUAAAAAUCACUCUGAUUAAAUUAGGAAUGAAUUUGAUACAGGGAAUAAGGAGCUUGCAAAAGCAAUUGGGAGGGCUGGAAUAGCACUCUCUGGUUUAGGAUCCCAAGAAUAUCUCCUAAAAGGAUAAUGUAGAACUGGCCCCCCAGGAGCCACCAUCAGAAAGGUGAGGAACCUUGGAGCAAUAGUUUAAGCUCCAAUGGCACACUUUUUAGGUAUUGAUUUAAGUUAUGGUGCUACAUUUCCAACAUUGGCUUCAGAGUCAUGCUUUGCCUAUUAGAUCUCUCCCUAGGAGACAAAUUAUCCCUCACCUUGCCCCUUGACACCAGGGCCAUCUGCUAGCACUACUCCAGCAAAACUCAGUACUUCCAGGGCUGUGCUUUUCCCAACCUAGUCAAUAGAAAUGGUAAAAUAUUGGUCUUUGCUUCUCUUCCCUUUUCCAAAUAGUUCACAAGUAUACCUGAUGGGUCAGACCUAAAGCACAUCUGGAACCGAAGCUGUAAGGGAGUCCAGCAAAUGUGAUAUUUAACUUUGUAGCCUCUGCAGCACAGAAAGACACACUAAAAGAAGGAUGGAAUGAAUAUUGGGUACCAAUUCACUAUAUUCACUUUCCUGGGGAUAGUAAUGAGAAAGACUCCGUGGGGGAAUAUUCCUCCAGAAACUUGUUUGGAAUAAUGAAUCUAACUAGGACAACAAGGAAAAGCUUCCAGGGGAGAGAUUGAAAAACACUGUUUUCCUGAGAAAUACAGCAUGGAAAACCUCCACGGGGGAUCCCGUGGGCUUUAUUUGCCUAGAAUAAAACCAUACAUAUACAUUUCAAAGUGCAUUUUUCCAUAUAAUUUAUGGCCCCAAAUAUUUUAUUUUUACUAUUUUAAGUCAAAUUUACCUGAUAAUAGUUUAUCUAAUUAAAAUGAAAUAGAAGGAGUUCCCCUUAUGGCUCAGCAGAAAUGAAUCCAACUAGUAUCCAUGAGGAUUCUUUUUCAGUACCUGGCCUCUCUCAGUGGGUUAAUGAUCUGGUGUUGCUGUGAGCUGUGGUAUAGGUCACAGAUGUGUUUCAGAUCUGGCAUUGCUGUGGCUGUGGUGUAGGCUGGCAGCUGUAGUUCUGAUUUGAUCACUAGCUCAGGAAUUUCCAUAUGCUGCAGGUGUGGCCCCCAAAAGCAAAAACAAACAAACCAAAAAAA
rnacentral:lncRNA from 1 species